UGCCAAUGUUUUUCGUAUCUUUCCCUUAGUUAUCCAUAUUAUAAGUGUAUGCAGACUGUGUCCGUUGAGAAAUGAAUUAUUUCCUUAAUAUCAGGACAUUAAAACAAAAAAUAUAAUUUCCAGAUUUUUAUUCAAAAUUUAAGGGAUAUUUUUAAAUUAAAUUUAAGUUGAGGAGGACGACAAUGCCCUUUAUGGUGAUCUUAGUUAUAUUAGAAGUAUCUAUUUUUUAUCAAGAGGUAUUGUUACUUGGCAGAAAGGUAACAACUAACCAGGAGAAGCUAGUUGGAAUGGAGUAAGGUAGUCAUUAAGCUGUCGGAAAUAACCAAACGGAUCGAUAUAUAAUCUUUUGCCAAUAAACUUUAUUAAAUAUCUCAGACUAAGCAUCAGAUAAAUAAAUGCAAUAAAAUGGU